rnacentral:lncRNA from 1 species
AUUCCAGGCUGUGGAUCCGGUCGUGGGAAGCAGUCUUUCAUCAUCCAUUCACUAACUGGAGGACAACAUCUGAAUUUAUUAGUGAGCAUACAAAGGCUUUUCAUCCGCUGAACCCAGCGCAUCUGCUACCAUUUCCCUGGUCUCCGGUCAGAACUAGUGACUGUCCCAUAAACAGGUUCUGCUGGACUUCCAGUCAAGAUGGAGCGGGCCGCACACAUACAGAGCUGAACUUGUAUCGCCGUGUAGAUGAAGACAAACACCUUUAGGAGAUGGCAGAGAAACAAAAUGGGAAACCCUCAGGUCUCCAAAUGACUACACCAAGCAGAAUUGCCCCACCAGCCUGCACCAUUCAUUUCUAGACUAUGAGCAAGAAGUACACUUCCAUCUUAUUUAAACAACCAUAUUUGGGGUUUUUGUUGUUGUUAUUGUUGUUGUUAUAGGAGCUUAGCUUUUACUCUAAGAAAUACAGCUACUCAACUCACUUCAUUAGGAUCUUAACUAUAAUAUCAAAACCUCCUAAGCACAGAAUAAAAAAUACAGUAGAGCAAUAUCAUUUAUGAUCAUAGAUGCAGAGCUUCCAAAUGAAAUACUAGCAUAUUCAAGGAAAGAUAUAUAUACCAUGACCUAGUUGUGUUUAAUUUCUGGAAUUCAAAAAUGGAAUGUUUGACAUAAGAAAAUCUAUUAGGCCGGGCGCGGUGGCUCACGCCUGUAAUCCCAGCACUUUGGGAGGCCGAGGCAGGCAGAUCACGAGGUCAGGAGAUCGAGAUCAUCCUGGCUAAUACGGUGAAACCCCGUUUCUACUAAAAAAUACAAAAAAAAAAUAUUAGCUGGGAGUGGUGGCGGGCGCCUGUAGUCCCAGCUACUUGGGAGGCUGAGGCAGGAGAAUGGCGUGAACCCGGGAGGCAGAGCUUACAGUGAGCUGAGAUCGUGCCACUGCACUCCAGCCUGGGUGACAGAGCGAGACUCUGUCUC